UUAGCCAGCUGUUGCUUGACCAUGCAAGUAGUAAUAAAGACCUACUUUUGGGGGGUGGGCAUGUGACCUUUGACCUCAUGCACGUGCAAGAGGGCGUGUACAGGCAUUUUGAGGUCAUGCCCGGAAAUGCGUCAUUUUACGAGUGGAAAAGGAAAUAUGUCAUUUUUGGGGCGUGAUUUGUAGGGGGCGUGCACUGUUUAAGCAUAAAUACGCCAUUUUGACUGACGUGCAUGGUUUUGAUUGGAAAUUUGCCAUUUCAGGGGUUGUUUUAUGCGAUGGGCGUUAGUUUUGACCAGAAACACGACACUGUAGGAGGGGUUUCAUCAUAUAUAUAUAUAUAUAUAUAUAUAUGAGGUGUUAUUUGGCGCCUCGAUCGAACUUUCUUUUUGGACUCAUCCAUGGGGUUCACGCUCCAGGAUUCUUAGUGAAACAGCAGAGGCCUAUCCCAGUGUGGUCCCAGUGGCGGCGUCUUCUUCUUCUAUUCAAAGGUAUGAGAGGCCCCGCCACAAACCAGUGAGACACUGGUGCUUCUGUUCAGAUUCACCAUUAUCAGCUUAAUGCAUAUACUAGGGGGGCUAUCUUCUUAGGUUACAAAUUGUCUUCUGUUGGCUAACAGAGGAAAGCCCUCAGGAAAACAUACAUCUUAAGGUUUAACGAGGAACACAUAUGUCGACUUAGUGCAGCAUCAUGUGACACAGCACACAAGCCGGGGCCAACCCCCAAACGUCGUCUUCUGCUUCUCUUCAAUGGUAUGAGAGGCCCCUCCACAAAACAGUGAGACACUGGCGCUUCUGUUCAGAUUCACCAAUAACAGCUUAAUGCAUGAAUUAGGGGGCUAUCUUCUUCUUAGCCAACAGGACACACAUUGUAACCUAACAGGAAAAACCCUCAGGAAAACAUACAGUUUUAACGAGGAACACGGGUGUCGACAUAGUGCCGCAUAAUGUGACGCAGCACCCAAACGGUGCUAAACCCUAAAUGGCUUGAGAGCCCCCAGGGAUGGAGAAAAACAGUGUCCUUAUGUGGUAAACAGUGAGCAGUUUGUUUAGUUUUAAUCAACAUAUGAACCCCCACCCCCACUGAGACCCUGGUGUGUGAAAAACAGGAUCCUUAGUUAGUAAUGAUGUUGCCUUCGGGGGGUAUGGGUCUCCUAUAUAGAUACAGCCACGGUUCACUUCUUGACACCCUGGCAGACUGGUGCAUCCUCACAUUUAAGACAUUUCCAGUGAGAGCCAGAUGUACUACAAGGGGGGAGCAAUGGACCAGAUAUGUGGUAUUUACACCUUUUAGAAAUAGAUGACAGCUCGCAUCCUAUACAUGGGAGUCUUGAAAGGGAGCUGGCACAGAUUCGCCAUCUCGGGAAAAGCCAUCUGACCGUCGCUGUCAAACAGGGGUUGCAGACCUGUAUGCCCCUCCAGUGAAAAAAAAAAAGUACAUACGGUUGUCCAGUCUGAGAGCCCUUCUACAAGCAGGGAGCAGCUUGACCUGUCUACACCAACAAAGGACACAUGGUACUAUCUAGGAUGCUUGACUGACGAGGAAAUACUGCAGGUGGUCUGUGACUAUGAAAUAGAAGAGAGUACUACAGUAGAAGCAACAUCGGCAGAGUGUGUAACCCCAUUUCAACAAAACAGAGCAG